UACAGAGGGGGCAAGCGUUGUUCGGAAUUACUGGGCGUAAAGGGCGCGUAGGCGGCCGCCUAAGUCAGACGUGAAAUCCCUCGGCUCAACCGGGGAACUGCGUCUGAUACUGGGUGGCUUGAAUCCGGGAGAGAGAUGCGGAAUUCCAGGUGUAGCGGUGAAAUGCGUAGAUAUCUGGAGGAACACCGGUGGCGAAGGCGGCAUCCUGGACCGGCAUUGACGCUGAGGCGCGAAAGCCAGGGGAGCAAACGGG
rnacentral:rRNA from 1 species